CCAAUAGCGUAUAUUAAAGUUGUUGCAGUUAAAAAGCUCGUAGUUGAAUUUCGGGGUUAGUAAGUUGGUUGUGCCACUGGUAUGUACUGGCUUUACUGAUUCCUCCUUCUUGUAGAACCGUAAUGCCAUUAAGUUGGUGUUGCGGGGAAACAGGACUGUUACUUUGAAAAAAUUAGAGUGUUUAAAGCAAGCUAACGCUUGAAUACAUUAGCAUGGAAUAAUGAAAUAGGACGUUCGAUCCUAUUUUGUUGGUUUCUAGGAUUGACGUAAUGAUUAAUAGGGAUAGUUGGGGGCAUUAGUAUUCAAUUGUCAGAGGUGAAAUUCUUGGAUUUAUUGAAGACUAACUACUGCGAAAGCAUUUGCCAAGGAUGUUUUCAUUAAUCAAGAACGAAAGUUAGGGGAUCGAAGACGAUCAGAUACCGUCGUAGUCUUAACCAUAAACUAUGCCGACUAGGGAUCGGAUGAUGUUAAUUUUAUAAUGACUCAUUCGGCGCCUUACG
rnacentral:misc_RNA from 1 species